UGCUCUGGGCUCGAGAUCACUGUUUCUAUCCACUCCGGAAGACGUCCUACUCUCCUCUCCCCUCCUCUCCUCUUUUCUCGAUCAAUUUCUUCCCUUUCAUUUUCCUUUUUUAACCUUUUCUUUUUGUGUCAAAACUUCGUCCAGUAGCAGAAUAAAUCCCAUAUUCUUCUAGUUUUUUGGGACAAAUAUCUCUCGAGAUUGAAUCUGAAAAUUUUCAAACUUUUCUUUCUAUAAUUUGAAUUUUUUAGAUUUCUUUGAUUAAAUCCUCUUACUCCCUUCCUCCAUUCGCGAUCUGAAGCUUUGUUCAUAUGUGGUUUUCUGUUCGUUUUUCCCCUUUUUACUGACAUAUAUUAACCUAUUUCUUUGUAAUCGCAGGUGGAAAAUUUUGAGCUUUUUCUUGUUCAACACUUUUGAACUACUCCAAGAUAUGGUAAAUGGGGGAAAAGAUGAGCUUGUUCUUCUUUAACACUACCGAACUACUCAAGAUAUGGACUCGAACAACCUCAGCAAUCGAAACAGAGCCUUGUCUUUGGUGGAGCAUAUUGGAAAGUAGUAUUGGAGUUAUGAUCUUGAUACUUUUUUUUUUCCCUCCUUUGUAAUAUUUUUUAGCAAGGGAGAAAG